rnacentral:lncRNA from 1 species
UUUAUAUAACAACUAUGUCAACAAAAAAACCACUAUAUAUAUAGAGUUAUAUAAAAAUAUGUACAAAAAUUAUUGAAAACCACUAAUUUUUGUACACAUUUUUAUAGUGGUUUAAAAUAUUGAAAACCACUAUAAAAAACCUGUACAUAAUUAUUGAAAACCACUCUGUAUACACAGAUAGAUAAACAUGAAAACCACUAUAUAAUUAAAGUACUUCAUUGCAAACAUAUCAAAAAAUACAAACUAUCAAAACGAUAAAUUCUAAUAAAACCGACUAUGAAAAACACCAUCUUCUCUCUUGUGAACGAGCAUAGAUGUUAGCAUCUUCUUCUUAUUAUUACAUUUCUCAAGGAUCACUCACCUAGUCAUCACUUCCACAAUCACUCCCCCUGUUCAAGAAACAAAAAAUAAUAUUCAAGAAUUAAUCACUAAAUAAACCACUUUUAAUUUAUAAAAUGAUAAUAUGUUUGGGGUGUCAUCAUUUUAUUGAACAAUUAUUUACAACGUGCAAUACAUAAAAAAAUCAAAAUAAAUUAAAAAAUAUAAACUGGUGAAAAACAUAAAGAAUAUAAGAAUGAUUAUAUUAAUUAAAUGAAAAAUUCACAAACCAAAAAAGUUUAAAAUCCAUACAUAUACAUAAUUUAAAACGUCCAAAUAUAAAAUAAAAACAACACAUAAUUACAAAUGCAAUACAAGAAAAGGGACGAAAUGAGAAGAAAAAUUUACCGGCAACCUCUGGUGCCAAGCGGCUUCUCCUUGCUUCACGCCGCCGCUUUUAAAUCUCGAAUCAAGCCUCGCCCACAUCGUUGAUCAUAUUGUUGCAAUCUUCGAAAUCACAUACACUGCCGUCUUAUAUAUGCCGGCAUAAGAGAAGGCUGACGCAAGGAGGCAAAAAUAUAGAUGGUUAGGACGGGGGAGGAGCGGCAGAAAUAUAGGUGUUACUUGAAUGGGUAGCACCGUCCAUAAUAGUGUUGCUUCUCCGAAAGUUCAUGGUGGUGGUGGUUGGAUACCACCAUACAGAGAUCGCGGCAUGACUGAUGGAGAGAGGGGAAAGGGGAGCCGCUGUAUACAAAAGAUUGUGAGAAAACGAAUUGUUUUAGAUCGUGAUAGGGUUUGAAAGUUUGGGUGG